rnacentral:rRNA from 1 species
GAUGAACGCUGGCGGCGUGCCUAAUACAUGCAAGUCGAGCGAACGGACGAGAAGCUUGCUUCUCUGAUGUUAGCGGCGGACGGGUGAGUAACACGUGGAUAACCUACCUAUAAGACUGGGAUAACUUCGGGAAACCGGAGCUAAUACCGGAUAAUAUUUUGAACCGCAUGGUUCAAAAGUGAAAGACGGUCUUGCUGUCACUUAUAGAUGGAUCCGCGCUGCAUUAGCUAGUUGGUAAGGUAACGGCUUACCAAGGCAACUAUGCAUAGCCGACCGGAGAGGGUGAUCGGCCACACUGGAAGUGAGACACGCUCCAGACUCCUACGGGAGGCAGCAGUAGGGAAUCGUACGCAAUGGGCGAAAGCCUGACGGAGCAACGCCGCGUGAGUGAUGAAGGUCUUCGGAUCGUAAAACUCUGUUAUUAGGGAAGAACAUAUGUGUAAGUAACUGUGCACAUCUUGACGGUACCUAAUCAGAAAGCCACGGCUAACUACGUG